AUUGAACGCUGGCGGCAGGCCUAACACAUGCAAGUCGAGCGGAUGAAGGGAGCUUGCUCCUGGAUUCAGCGGCGGACGGGUGAGUAAUGCCUAGGAAUCUGCCUGGUAGUGGGGGAUAACGUCCGGAAACGGGCGCUAAUACCGCAUACGUCCUGAGGGAGAAAGUGGGGGAUCUUCGGACCUCACGCUAUCAGAUGAGCCUAGGUCGGAUUAGCUAGUUGGUGGGGUAAAGGCCUACCAAGGCGACGAUCCGUAACUGGUCUGAGAGGAUGAUCAGUCAUACUGUAACUGGUACACGGUCCAGACUCCUACGGGAGGCAGCAGUGGGGAAUAUUGGACAAAGGGCGAAAGCCUGAUCCAGCCAUGCCGCGUGUGUGAAGAAGGUCUUCGGAUUGUAAAGCACUUUAAGUUGGGAGGAAGGGCAGUAAGUUAAUACCUUGCUGUUUUGACGUUACCAACAGAAUAAGCACCGGCUAACUUCGUG
rnacentral:rRNA from 1 species